rnacentral:rRNA from 1 species
GAUGAACGCUGACAGAAUGCUUAACACAUGCAAGUCGAUGGGGAAGUGGUGCUUGCACCAUGGUAACCAUGGCGGACGGGUGAGUAACGCGUAAGGAACCUGCCUGCGGGACUGGGAUAACAGCAGGAAACUGCUGAUAAUACCGGAUAAGGUCAUUAAGCUGCAUAGCUUAGUGAUGAAAGGAGACGCCUGCGGAGAGCCUUGCGUCCUAUUAGCUAGUUGGAGGGGUAACGGCCCACCAAGGCGAAGAUAGGUAGCCGGCCUGAGAGGGUGGACGGCCACAAGGGGACUGAGAUACGGCCCUUACUCCUACGGGAGGCAGCAGUGGGGAAUAUUGGACAAUGGGGGCAACCCUGAUCCAGCAAUUCUGUGUGCACGAAGACGGUUUUCGGAUUGUAAAGUGCUUUCAGCAGGGAAGAAGGAAGUGACGGUACCUGCAGAAGAAGCGACGGCUAAAUACGUG